UUACGGCCACAUCACGUCGAAACAUCGGUUCACGUACAAUCACCGAAGUUAAGCCAACGUCAAGCUUGGUCAGUAGCUAGAUGGGUGACCGCUUAGGAAUACUCGGUGCUGUAAG